rnacentral:lncRNA from 1 species
AUACCAUUAAAGGGAAUGCUAGUGAAGGAGAUUUAGCCAACCGCAACAUCCAUCUCUUAGAAUUUGCGAAUGUUCUGCAAUUUUUUUUUAGAUAAGUCAAAUGUUGAACGAAGUCAAGAACCAAUAAGAUCGCAAUCAUGAGAAUCAAACAAAGAGAUAGGAUGUUCCACUGAAUAAAAAAAGAACACGCAGCAUCAUAUAACCACAAAAAAAAAUCAGGAAAAAGCAGUGGAUAUCAAUUAAUUUCCUGAAAAGAAAAAUGAAUAUAAUUUCUCUAGAGUUGGCUAAGAUCUCAAGAUCGGUGCUUCCAAGACCAUUAAAAAAAACUAACAAUGAAUCAAAAAUUGCAGAAAAUUUACUAUAAUGGUGGUGAGAGACCUGAAGCGGAUGAUUCAUUUCUAAAGAAGAAACUUAAAAUCCAAAUGGCUAAGACAUUUAUAGAAAAAAGAACGAAAAUGGCGGAAAGAAAUAAAAAGGAUAGAGAUGAAAGAAAGUACCGAGAGAGAAUAGGGAGGCCUUGUCUUUUUCUUUUGAGUCUUCUUUGUUCUUCGUUUAUGCGUUGAACUUGGUUUGCAGAGAAGAAGAGAGAGAGAUGUAGUAAUAAUAAGGAUGGUGUAUUUAUAAAGGGGAGCGUGAGAUUCGAACAAUUAUUAUAUUUAUGAGCAAAAUCACAGGAGGAAGCAUCAUACGGUGGAUCGGCCGUAAGAUAAUCAUGUCUACUAGUCACCACGUCACUUUCACCCCAUCACCAUCUA